rnacentral:rRNA from 1 species
CGGACGGGUGAGUAAUGCCUAGGAAUCUGCCUGGUAGUGGGGGACACGUUUCGAAAGGAACGCUAAUACCGCAUACGUCCUACGGGAGAAAGCAGGGGACCUUCGGGCCUUGCGCUAUCAGAUGAGCCUAGGUCGGAUUAGCUAGUUGGUGAGGUAAUGGCUCACCAAGGCGACGAUCCGUAACUGGUCUGAGAGGAUGAUCAGUCACACUGGAACUGAGACACGGUCCAGACUCCUACGGGAGGCAGCAGAC